rnacentral:lncRNA from 1 species
CAUGUCUUCAUGUUCUGGCUUCCAGGCUGAAUGAACAGCUUCAUCUGGAACCUGCAUGGUGUUUUCAUAACAGACAGUGAAAGCAUACAAGAUCAAGACAAGUCACACACAUUUAAAGCUUCUGCUCACAUGUGGCAUGAGAUACAUUCCCCUACAUGCCUUUGGCAAACCCCGAUAUGCCUUUGGCAAAGAAAGAAACAUAGGCUUCAAGUUCAUGGGGAAGGGAAGUACUGGCCGAAAGGUGACUACAGGAAGGUAAGAAGGAACACUGAUUCUGAGAUUCCAGGAGACAUAUGAUGUCUGUGUUUUAGUCAGCAUUUUUGCUGCUACAACCAAAAAACCCAACAAGAACAAUUUUAGAGAAGGAAAAGUUCAUCAUGGGGCUCAUGGUUUCAGAGGUCUCAGUCCACAGCCAGCCAGCUCCAUUGCUCUGGGUCAAAGGUAUGGAAGAACAUUAUGGCAGAAGAGUACAGUGGAGAAAGGCUGCUCAGGACAUGGCACCAGGAAACAGAGAGAGCGAGCUUCAUUCAAUCAGGAUAAAAUACAUACCCCAAAAAGUAUCCUCCCAGGAACCCACCUCCUCCAGCCACACCCUACCUGCCUACAGUUACCACCCAGUUAAUCUAUUCAUCUGAAUGAUAACAAUCUUCUUUCUAGCUGUUAAAUUCAUUAUGGAAAGUAUGCUAUUUUGGAAGUGUGCUAUUCAUUAUGGAAAGUUUCUAACUAUUGUUAUUAAAUAGUUUAUUU